UUAAGCGACUAAGCGUACACGGUGGAUGCCCUGGCAGUCAGAGGCGAUGAAGGACGUGCUAAUCUGCGAUAAGCGUCGGUAAGGUGAUAUGAACCGUUAUAACCGGCGAUUUCCGAAUGGGGAAACCCAGUGUGUUUCGACACACUAUCAUUAACUGAAUCCAUAGGUUAAUGAGGCGAACCGGGGGAACUGAAACAUCUAAGUACCCCGAGGAAAAGAAAUCAACCGAGAUUCCCCCAGUAGCGGCGAGCGAACGGGGAGCAGCCCAGAGCCUGAAUCAGUGUGUGUGUUAGUGGAAGCGUCUGGAAAGGCGCGCGAUACAGGGUGACAGCCCCGUACACAAAAAUGCACAUGCUGUGAGCUCGAUGAGUAGGGCGGGACACGUGGUAUCCUGUCUGAAUAUGGGGGGACCAUCCUCCAAGGCUAAAUACUCCUGACUGACCGAUAGUGAACCAGUACCGUGAGGGAAAGGCGAAAAGAACCCCGGCGAGGGGAGUGAAAAAGAACCUGAAACCGUGUACGUACAAGCAGUGGGAGCACGCUUAGGCGUGUGACUGCGUACCUUUUGUAUAAUGGGUCAGCGACUUAUAUUCUGUAGCAAGGUUAACCGAAUAGGGGAGCCGAAGGGAAACCGAGUCUUAACUGGGCGUUAAGUUGCAGGGUAUAGACCCGAAACCCGGUGAUCUAGCCAUGGGCAGGUUGAAGGUUGGGUAACACUAACUGGAGGACCGAACCGACUAAUGUUGAAAAAUUAGCGGAUGACUUGUGGCUGGGGGUGAAAGGCCAAUCAAACCGGGAGAUAGCUGGUUCUCCCCGAAAGCUAUUUAGGUAGCGCCUCGUGAAUUCAUCUCCGGGGGUAGAGCACUGUUUCGGCAAGGGGGUCAUCCCGACUUACCAACCCGAUGCAAACUGCGAAUACCGGAGAAUGUUAUCACGGGAGACACACGGCGGGUGCUAACGUCCGUCGUGAAGAGGGAAACAACCCAGACCGCCAGCUAAGGUCCCAAAGUCAUGGUUAAGUGGGAAACGAUGUGGGAAGGCCCAGACAGCCAGGAUGUUGGCUUAGAAGCAGCCAUCAUUUAAAGAAAGCGUAAUAGCUCACUGGUCGAGUCGGCCUGCGCGGAAGAUGUAACGGGGCUAAACCAUGCACCGAAGCUGCGGCAGCGACGCUUAUGCGUUGUUGGGUAGGGGAGCGUUCUGUAAGCCUGCGAAGGUGUGCUGUGAGGCAUGCUGGAGGUAUCAGAAGUGCGAAUGCUGACAUAAGUAACGAUAAAGCGGGUGAAAAGCCCGCUCGCCGGAAGACCAAGGGUUCCUGUCCAACGUUAAUCGGGGCAGGGUGAGUCGACCCCUAAGGCGAGGCCGAAAGGCGUAGUCGAUGGGAAACAGGUUAAUAUUCCUGUACUUGGUGUUACUGCGAAGGGGGGACGGAGAAGGCUAUGUUGGCCGGGCGACGGUUGUCCCGGUUUAAACGUGUAGGCUGGUUUUCCAGGCAAAUCCGGAAAAUCAAGGCUGAGGCGUGAUGACGAGGCACUACGGUGCUGAAGCAACAAAUGCCCUGCUUCCAGGAAAAGCCUCUAAGCAUCAGGUAACAUCAAAUCGUACCCCAAACCGACACAGGUGGUCAGGUAGAGAAUACCAAGGCGCUUGAGAGAACUCGGGUGAAGGAACUAGGCAAAAUGGUGCCGUAACUUCGGGAGAAGGCACGCUGAUAUGUAGGUGAAGUCCCUCGCGGAUGGAGCUGAAAUCAGUCGAAGAUACCAGCUGGCUGCAACUGUUUAUUAAAAACACAGCACUGUGCAAACACGAAAGUGGACGUAUACGGUGUGACGCCUGCCCGGUGCCGGAAGGUUAAUUGAUGGGGUUAGCGCAAGCGAAGCUCUUGAUCGAAGCCCCGGUAAACGGCGGCCGUAACUAUAACGGUCCUAAGGUAGCGAAAUUCCUUGUCGGGUAAGUUCCGACCUGCACGAAUGGCGUAAUGAUGGCCAGGCUGUCUCCACCCGAGACUCAGUGAAAUUGAACUCGCUGUGAAGAUGCAGUGUACCCGCGGCAAGACGGAAAGACCCCGUGAACCUUUACUAUAGCUUGACACUGAACAUUGAGCCUUGAUGUGUAGGAUAGGUGGGAGGCUUUGAAGUGUGGACGCCAGUCUGCAUGGAGCCGACCUUGAAAUACCACCCUUUAAUGUUUGAUGUUCUAACGUGGACCCGUAAUCCGGGUUGCGGACAGUGUCUGGUGGGUAGUUUGACUGGGGCGGUCUCCUCCUAAAGAGUAACGGAGGAGCACGAAGGUUGGCUAAUCCUGGUCGGACAUCAGGAGGUUAGUGCAAUGGCAUAAGCCAGCUUGACUGCGAGCGUGACGGCGCGAGCAGGUGCGAAAGCAGGUCAUAGUGAUCCGGUGGUUCUGAAUGGAAGGGCCAUCGCUCAACGGAUAAAAGGUACUCCGGGGAUAACAGGCUGAUACCGCCCAAGAGUUCAUAUCGACGGCGGUGUUUGGCACCUCGAUGUCGGCUCAUCACAUCCUGGGGCUGAAGUAGGUCCCAAGGGUAUGGCUGUUCGCCAUUUAAAGUGGUACGCGAGCUGGGUUUAGAACGUCGUGAGACAGUUCGGUCCCUAUCUGCCGUGGGCGCUGGAGAAUUGAGGGGGGCUGCUCCUAGUACGAGAGGACCGGAGUGGACGCAUCACUGGUGUUCGGGUUGUCAUGCCAAUGGCACUGCCCGGUAGCUAAAUGCGGAAGAGAUAAGUGCUGAAAGCAUCUAAGCACGAAACUUGCCCCGAGAUGAGUUCUCCCUGACUCCUUGAGAGUCCUGAAGGAACGUUGAAGACGACGACGUUGAUAGGCCGGGUGUGUAAGCGCAGCGAUGCGUUGAGCUAACCGGUACUAAUGAACCGUGAGGCUUAACCUU
rnacentral:rRNA from 1 species